GUGAAAGAGGUUGUAAUAUUUCCACUCAUUUCCAAUGGCUCUACCUCACUGCGUCGGCAUCAGGACAGCAAAAACAAGAGAGAGACCAUUCCCACAUUCCAAAGACUCCAGGAGAUGUUCUUUUCCGACGGUCGAUCCGAUCAUGCCAUUCGAGCGAAAAAGAUUAGGGCCAAUAAGAGAGCCGACAGGAGUAUUCCUUUGACCAAAGUCAGUGAGGAGUCAGAGUCCCAGAUAACAGCUCACCUCAGAGUAAGUCGUCUGCACACCUCUGGACGUGUUCU